rnacentral:rRNA from 1 species
GCUCAACCGGGGAGGGUCAUUGGAAACUGGGGAACUUGAGUGCAGAAGAGGAGAGUGGAAUUCCACGUGUAGCGGUGAAAUGCGUAGAGAUGUGGAGGAACACCAGUGGCGAAGGCGACUCUCUGGUCUGUAACUGACGCUGAGGCGCGAAAGCGUGGGGAGCGAACAGGAUUAGAUACCCUGGUAGUCCACGCCGUAAACGAUGAGUGCUAAGUGUUAGAGGGUCUCCGCCCUUUAGUGCUGCAGCAAACGCAUUAAGCACUCCGCCUGGGGAGUACGGUCGCAAGACUGAAACUCAAAGGAAUUGACGGGGGCCCGCACAAGCGGUGGAGCAUGUGGUUUAAUUCGAAGCAACGCGAAGAACCUUACCAGGUCUUGACAUCCUCUGACAACCCUAGAGAUAGAGCUUCCCCUUCGGGGGCAGAGUGACAGGUGGUGCAUGGUUGUCGUCAGCUCGUGUCGUGAGAUGUUGGGUUAAGUCCCGCAACGAGCGCAACCCUUGAUCUUAGUUGCCAGCAUUCAGUUGGGCACUCUAAGGUGACUGCCGGUGACAAACCGGAGGAAGGUGGGGAUGACGUCAAAUCAUCAUGCCCCUUAUGACCUGGGCUACACACGUGCUACAAUGGGCAGAACAAAG